rnacentral:rRNA from 1 species
GACGAACGCUGGCGGCGUGCUUAACACAUGCAAGUCGAACGGUAAGGCCCUUCGGGGUACACGAGUGGCGAACGGGUGAGUAACACGUGGGUGAUCUGCCCUGCACUUCGGGAUAAGCCUGGGAAACUGGGUCUAAUACCGGAUAGGACCACUGCCUGCAUGGGUGGUGGUGGAAAGCUUUUGCGGUGUGGGAUGGGCCCGCGGCCUAUCAGCUUGUUGGUGGGGUGAUGGCCUACCAAAGCGACGACGGGUAGCCGGCCUGAGAGGGUGACCGGCCACACUGGGACUGAGAUACGGCCCAGACUCCGACGGGAGGCAGCAGUGGGGAAUAUUGCACAAUGGGCGCAAGCCUGAUGCAGCGACGCCGCGUGAGGGAUGACGGCCUUCGGGUUGUAAACCUCUUUCAGCACCGACGAAGCGCAAGUGACGGUAGGUGCAGAAGAAGGACCGGCCGACUACGUGCCAGCCGCCGCGGUAA